rnacentral:rRNA from 1 species
AGUUUGAUCCUGGCUCAGAUUGAACGCUGGCGGAAUGCUUUACACAUGCAAGUCGAGCGGCAGCGCGGGGCAACCUGGCGGCGAGCGGCGAACGGGUGAGUAAUACAUCGGAACGUACCCAGUCGUGGGGGAUAACCACUCGAAAGAGUGGCUAAUACCGCAUACGACCUGAGGGAGAAAGCGGGGGCUCGCAAGACCUCGCGCGAUUGGAGCGGCCGAUGUCUGAUUAGCUGGUUGGUGGGGUAAAGGCCUACCAAGGCGACGAUCAGUAGCUGGUCUGAGAGGACGACCAGCCACACUGGGACUGAGACACGGCCCAGACUCCUACGGGAGGCAGCAGUGGGGAAUUUUGGACAAUGGGCGCAAGCCUGAUCCAGCCAUUCCGCGUGAGUGAAGAAGGCCUUCGGGUUGUAAAGCUCUUUCGGCAGGGAAGAAACGGACUGGGUUAAUACCCUGGUUUAAUGACGGUACCUGAAGAAGAAGCACCGGCUAACUACGUGCCAGCAGCCGCGGUAAUACGUAGGGUGCGAGCGUUAAUCGGAAUUACUGGGCGUAAAGCGUGCGCAGGCGGUUGUUUAAGACAGAUGUGAAAUCCCCGGGCUCAACCUGGGAACUGCGUUUGUGACUGGACAGCUAGAGUGCGGCAGAGGGGGGUGGAAUUCCACGUGUAGCAGUGAAAUGCGUAGAGAUGUGGAGGAACACCGAUGGCGAA